CUACGGCGAGUGAAGUGGGAAAGCUCAACUUUGUAAUCUGGCAGCUUCGCUGUCCGAGUUGUAGUCUCGAGAAGUGUUUUCCGCGCUGGAUCGUGUAUGAGUCUGUUGGAAUACAGCGUCAUAGAGGGUGAGAACCCCGUUCGUGACACGACUACCAGUGCUUUGUGAUACGCUUUCGAUGAGUCGAGUUGUUUGGGAAUGCAGCUCAAAUUGGGUGGUAAAUGCCAUCUAAGGCUAAAUAUUGGGGAGAGACCGAUAGCGAACAAGUACAGUGAUGGAAAGAUGAAAAGAACUUUGAAAAGAGAGUUAAACAGUACGUGAAAUUGCCAAAAGGGAAGGGUAGGAGGUCAGAGAUGCGGCCUGGGAUUCAGCCUUGCUUUUGCUUGGUGUUUUUCCCAGAUUGCAGGCCAACGUCGGUUUUGGGCACUGGAGAAGGGUAGGAGGAACGUGGCACCUCUCGGGGUGUGUUAUAGCCUCCUACUGGGUACAGCGACCGAGACCGAGGACAGCAGCGUACUCGCAAGAGCGGGCCUUCGGGCACCUUUACGCUUAGGGCGUUGGCAUAAUGGCCCUCUACCACCCGUCUUG
rnacentral:rRNA from 1 species